rnacentral:rRNA from 1 species
UAUGGAUGCUAGCUGUACACCGUAUCGACCCGGUGUGUAGUGAAGCUAACGCGUUAAGCAUCCCGCCUGUGGAGUACGAGCGCAAGCUUAAAACAUAAAGGAAUUGACGGGGACCCGCACAAGCGGUGGAGCGUGUUGUUUAAUUCGAUGGUAAGCGAAGAACCUUACCAAGGCUUGAAAUCCUGCGAAGUUCUGCGAAAGCAGAGUGUGCCUUCGGGAACGCAGUGACAGGUGAUGCAUGGCCGUCGUCAGCUCGUGUCGUGAGAUGUUGGGUUAAGUCCCGCAACGAGCGCAACCCCUAUGUUCAGUUGUAUUUCUCUGAACAGACUGCCCUGGUAACAGGGAGGAAGGAGGGGAUGAUGUCAGGUCAGUAUUUCCCUUACGCCUUGGGCUACAAACACGCUACAAUGGCCGGUACAAAGGGCAGCCAAGUCGCGAGACGGAGCAAAUCCCAUCAAAACCGGUCUCAGUUCGGAUAGCAGGCUGAAACUCGCCUGCUUGAAGCUGGAAUCGCUAGUAAUGGUAGGUCAGCACACUACCGUGAAUACGUUCCCGGGUCUUGUACACACCGCCCGUCAAACCAUGAAAGUCGGGGGCACCCAAAGUCCGCAUUGGCGGCCUAAGGUGAAUUCGAUGAUUGGG